rnacentral:rRNA from 1 species
AUUGAACGCUGGCGGCAGGCCUAACACAUGCAAGUCGAGCGGAUGACGGGAGCUUGCUCCUGGAUUCAGCGGCGGACGGGUGAGUAAUGCCUAGGAAUCUGCCUGGUAGUGGGGGAUAACGUCCGGAAACGGGCGCUAAUACCGCAUACGUCCUGAGGGAGAAAGUGGGUGAUCUUCGGACCUCACGCUAUCAGAUGAGCCUAGGUCGGAUUAGCUAGUUGGUGGGGUAAAGGCCUACCAGGGCGACGAUCCGUAACUGGUCUGAGAGGAUGAUCAGUCAAAUUGGAACUAAAACACGGCCAAAACCCCUAGGGAAGGCAGGAGGGGGAAUUUUUGACAAAGGGGGGAAAGCCUAAUCCGCAACGGCGGGGGGUGGAAAGAAGUUCUUGGGUUGGAAAAGCCUUUUAAGUGGGGAGAAAGGGCAGAAAAGUAAAUCAUUGUUGUUUGAGCGUACCAAACAAAAAAGGGACCGCUAAAUACGUU